AUAGCUCAAAUUUGAAAUCUGGCUCUUUCAGGGUCCGAGUUGUAAUUUGUAGAGGAUGUUUCGGGCACGGUUACGGUUUAAAUUUCUUGGAACAGAAUGUCAUAGAGGGUGAGAGUCCCGUCUUGAACCGAUUACUUCGUCCAUGUGAAACUCCUUCGACGAGUCGAGUUGUUUGGGAAUGCAGCUCAAAAUGGGUGGUAAAUUUCAUCUAAAGCUAAAUAUUGGCCAGAGACCGAUAGCGCACAAGUAGAGUGAUCGAAAGAUGAAAAGCACUUUGAAAAGAGAGUUAAACAGUAUGUGAAAUUGUUGAAAGGGAAGCGCUUGUAAUCAGACUUGAGCUUAACAGUUCCCCCUCCGGUCUCGGUGGGUUAUUCUGUUUUGUCCAGGCCAACAUCAGUUCGAGUGGUUGGUUAAAGAUUUUAGGAAUGUAUCUACCCUCCGGGGUCGACUUAUAGCCUAGAGUGUCAUGCAGCCUACUUGGACUGAGGAACGCGCUUCGGCUCGGAUGUUGGCGUAAUGGUUACAAGCGACCCGUCUUGAAACACGGACCAAGGAGUCUAACAUCUAUGCGAGUGUUUGGGUGUCAAACCCGUACGCGUAAUGAAAGUGAACGCCGGUAAGAAGCCUUAAGGCUGCAUUAUCGACCGAUCCGGAUGUCUUCGGAUGGAUUUGAGUAAGAGCAUAGCUGUUGGGACCCGAAAGAUGGUGAACUAUGCCUGAAUAGGGUGAAGCCAGAGGAAACUCUGGUGGAGGCUCGCAGCGGUUCUGACGUGCAAAUCGAUCGUCAAAUUUGGGUAUAGGGGCGAAAGACUAAUCGAACCAUCUGGUAGCUGGUUCCCUUCGAAGUUUCCCUCAGGAUAGCAGUAACGUUUUCAGUUUUAUGAGGUAAAGCGAAUGAUUAGAGGCCUUGGGGUUGAAACAACCUUAACCUAUUCUCAAACUUUAAAUAUGUAAGAAGUCCUUGUUACUUAAUUGAACGUGGACAUUUGAAUGUAUCGUUACUAGUGGGCCAUUUUUGGUAAGCAGAACUGGCGAUGCGGGAUGAACCGAACGUGAGGUUAAGGUGCCGGAAUACACGCUCAUCAGACACCACAAAAGGUGUCAAUGCAUCUAGACAGCCGGACGGUGGCCAUGGAAGUCGGAAUCCGCUUAGGAGUGUGUAACAACUCACCGGCCGAAUGCAUUGGCCCUGAAAAUGGAUGGCGCUUAAGCGUGUUACCUAUACCUCGCCGUUAGAGUUGAAAUUAUGCUCUAACGAGUAGGAGGGCGUGG
rnacentral:rRNA from 1 species